rnacentral:rRNA from 1 species
CCAUGCAGUCGACGGUACAGGAAGAGCUUGCUUCUUUGCUGACGAGUGGCGGACGGGUGAGUAAUGUCUGGGAAACUGCCUGAUGGAGGGGGAUAACUACUGGAAACGGUAGCUAAUACCGCAUAACGUCGCAAGACCAAAGAGGGGGACCUUCGGGCCUCUUGCCAUCGGAUGUGCCCAGAUGGGAUUAGCUAGUAGGUGGGGUAACGGCUCACCUAGGCGACGAUCCCUAGCUGGUCUGAGAGGAUGACCAGCCACACUGGAACUGAGACACGGUCCAGACUCCUACGGGAGGCAGCAGUGGGGAAUAUUGCACAAUGGGCGCAAGCCUGAUGCAGCCAUGCCGCGUGUAUGAAGAAGGCCUUCGGGUUGUAAAGUACUUUCAGCGGGGAGGAAGGGAGUAAAGUUAAUACCUUUGCUCAUUGACGUUACCCGCAGAAGAAGCACCGGCUAACUCCGUGCCAG